GGAUAGCUCAUUCAGUAAAGCAUGAGACUCUUAAUCUCAGGGUUGUGGGUUUGAGCCCCACGUUGGGCA